AUUGAACGCUGGCGGAAUGCUUUACACAUGCAAGUCGAACGGCAGCACGGGGGCAACCCUGGUGGCGAGUGGCGAACGGGUGAGUAAUACAUCGGAACGUGCCCAGUCGUGGGGGAUAACUACGCGAAAGCGUAGCUAAUACCGCAUACGAUCUAUGGAUGAAAGCGGGGGACCGCAGGACCUCGCGCGAUUGGAGCGGCCGAUGGCAGAUUAGGUAGUUGGUGGGGUAAAGGCUCACCAAGCCGACGAUCUGUAGCUGGGCUGAGAGGACGACCAGCCACACGGGGACUGAGACACGGCCCAGACUCCUACGGGAGGCAGCAGUGGGGAAUUUUGGACAAUGGGCGCAAGCCUGAUCCAGCCAUUCCGCGUGCAGGAUGAAGGCCCUCGGGUUGUAAACUGCUUUUGUACGGAACGAAACGGCGCGGGUUAAUACCCUGUGCUAAUGACGGUACCGUAAGAAUAAGCACCGGCUAACUACGUGCCAGCCGCCGCCGUAAUAC
rnacentral:rRNA from 1 species